AUCAUUCAUUCAUUCGUAUCUGAGUAGAGGGAAACGAAACGAUAAAUCAAUUUCUAGCAAGUCAAUUCCUAUCUGUCAAUCUUCUUCGCAUUUUAGAGCGAGAAAAUGAGACUUUUUAGAGAGAGAGAGAGAAAAAGUAGGCAAGAAAGACGGUCACUGACUGAAUAAAAGAUCACUCACUCUCACACCCUUUCAAGAGAUCUCAUCGCCCGAUCUUUCCUUCCUUCCCCGCCGGUAGUUCUUAACUUGCUUUGAUAGAAAAUGGGUGCUUCAGGGAGAUGGAUUAAAGCACUUGUUGGUUUCACCAAGUCUGAUAAGUCAAAGUCUAAAAAGAAGGAUGAUAAUGUGAAGACUGCAACCAAGAGCCGGUUUGGGAGAAACCAUUCUGUUGAUUUUGAUGCUGAAAAGUUUCAACUUGGAUUUGAAGAUUCCAAUACGCAUAGCAGCAUGUUAGAUAAUGGGGUCUCCACUUCAACUUCUUAUGGUGCUGCUAAUGAAGAACAAAGGAAGGAGCACAUGGCUGCAACUCGGAUUCAAACAGCUUUUCGAGGGUUUCUGGCUAGAAGGGCUUUACGAGCAUUGAAGGGAUUGGUUAGACUUCAGGCCCUUGUUAGAGGACACGCGGUGAGAAAGCAAGCUGCUGUAACGCUUCGAUGCAUGCAAGCGUUAGUAAGAGUCCAGGCUCGUGUACGCGCAAGACGUGUUCGUCUCGCCUUGGAAAGUGAAACGGGUCCGCAGAUGCUUCAGCAGCAGCUUGCAGAUGAAGCCAGGGUUCGAGAAAUAGAGGAAGGUUGGUGCGAUAGCAUUGGUUCUGUUGAACAAAUCCAAGCCAAGAUACUAAAGAGGCAGGAAGCUGCAGCUAAGCGUGAGAGGGCUAUGGCAUAUGCUUUGACUCACCAGUGGCAAGCAGGAACUCGGCAGUUAUCUGCGCACAGUGGUUUUCAGCCUGACAAAAACAACUGGGGAUGGAACUGGCUAGAAAGAUGGAUGGCUGUUCGUCCAUGGGAGAAUCGGUUUCUUGACAGUAACCUCAGGGACGAUGCCAUAUUAGGUGAAAACAAUAUGGAGCAAACUGAGAGUGUUGUGCAUAAAACUCAGAUGAAAAUUGCAAGCAAGAUUCCAAACACUUCAAAUCUUGCGUCCGGUGUUUCGAGUCAGAAGGUAACCGGGCCAUCUCUGUCGGAUGGUAAUUCCACUUCACCUGGAAUAUCUUCAAGCAUGCCAGUGCCAGUGGUGUCCAAGGAUAGGUCAAAGCUCGCUAAAGACGAUCUUGCUGUAGAAGUUGUUAACUCAAGACCUGGUGCUGGUCCAAGAUCACACAGCAAUCCAAAAGAAAGAUCAAGAGCGCCAGAUAGAGCUUCUAAGGAACGAUUAUCUCUGCCAAACAGUGGAAAAUCCUUAGGAUCUCAGUCAGCUAAAGCCAAAUCUUCCCAAAACCAGAAAAGACGCAACUCUGAUCCAAUAAAACAGAGGCUUGCAUAGCCCUGGCUAGAGUCUCUGAGAAUCGUCAGUCCAUCUAUCACUCCCAUCGUUCCUGUACAUAAACACAGCUUCUGAAAAUGGAAACAAAAAGAGAAAAAGAGGAUAUCAUGUGAGAACACAAUGGGUUACAUUCAGAGACUUGCGUGGUGGUACAUUGAUCAGAACUCAGAAGAGAACACCAUCGUCUUGGCGUCUUUCUGCCUUCAUUGUUGUUUGUUAUUUGUGUGUCAGACAUCCUUUUUCUUUUGUCCAUGAUUCUUAUAUGGAUUAUUAGUACGUAGUGUUAUUAUUCAAGUAAAGUUGUUUGGGGUAUAUGAGUGAGACAGUUUUUUUUUGUUGGGAGAACGAACCAUGCUGCUCCUGGCCUUCCCAAUGUGAUAUAUAUACAGUAGUGUGUUGUAUUUGGUA